CCGGGAAUAUUGCGCAAUGGACGAAAGUCUGACGCAGCGACGCCGCGUGUAGGAAGAAGGCCUUCGGGUUGUAAACUACUGUGGAGGGGGAAUAAUCAUUGAAGGUACCCCUCUAGAAAGCACCUGCUAACUACGUGCCAGAAGCCUCGGUAAUACGUAGGGUGCAAGCGUUAUCCGGAUUUAUUGGGCGUAAAGAGUCUCGUAGGCGGUUCGUUAAGUACAUGGUUAAAGGCUCCGGCUUAACCGGAGAGAUGCUGUGUAUACUGGCGAACUAGAGGGUUGUCGGGAGUGCUGGAAUUCUCGGUGGAGGGGUGAAAUCCGUUGAUAUCGAGAGGAACACCAAAGGCGAAGGCAGGCACUUAGGCAACAUCUGACGCUGAUGAACGAAAGCUAGGGGAGCGAACAGGAUUAGAUACCCUGGUAGUCCACGCCGUAAACGAUGGGUGCUAGGUGUGGGCGGUGUCGACUCCGUCCGUGCCGAAGCUAACGCAUUAAGCACCCCGCCUGGGGAGUACGGCC
rnacentral:rRNA from 1 species